rnacentral:tRNA from 1 species
GCUGGUGUAGCUCAACUAGGCAGAGCAACUGACUUGUAAUCAGUAGGUUGUUGGUUCGAUUCCGAUCACCAGCUCCA